GGGGUUGUGGCUCAGUGGUAGAGCGCUUGCCUAGCACGUGCAAGGCUCUAUAAGGUUCGAUCCUCAACACCA
rnacentral:tRNA from 1 species